CUCCCACCCAAGAGAAAAUACCUCGCACUGUCCAAUCUCAAAAAUUCCCUGAGAAUUUUACAGAUUUGAAUCAAAUCACUUGUUAUUCUCCUAAAUAAGCAAAGGCCUUGUUGAAGUUUUGAUCCGCUUUCCUAAUUUAAUUGCUCCCUUUACACUUAUAGUAUGCACAUUACCUGUCUUGCCAAGAGACACACAAAGAAUAUGUUCAUCAUUCCAGUCUUUGUAAGGAUGUUCAAGUAAUUUUUAUAGAAAUGAUAGGUUCAGUAUAUAGUUGGACUAGAUAUAUCUCUGCCUCUUCCAGGAGGUUUAAUGACACAAGGGAGUAGGCUAAGGAGAGUGAAUGAGGAUGGUGAUGUCUAGAAGAAUUGAAUAUGUUAGAUGGAUCCACUGGUUUACCCCAGUCUUUUGAUUUUGUGUAACUUAACUCAUCAGAGUCCACUGAGUCCUUGUCCACAGAACUCACAUUUCCCACAACUCUGUUCUCACCCCGUCUCCCAGACUGAGCAAGGAUAGGUUCCUCCAAUCCUUACUUUUCCUCUAACCUACCUUGGGUCAUCCUUGACAGGUUCUGCUACCUUUAAUGAGAUUCCACCACUGGACAUAUUUGUCGCCUCUCUUACCCUUCCAAUAGGACUGUUCCCUCUCUCUGGCAUCCCUCUUCUAUCUCUACUAACCAUUCUCUUUCUCAUUACGCUUUUCCACAAAACUAUGUGAAAUGACACUUAUCACUUUAAUUCAUUCUCCAACCGACUCCCACUCUGACCAAUCUGUCUGUGGUUUGUUGCACUUUUUUAACAAGGCCCUGAAUAAAUUCAUAUGCAGCUUAAUACAAAGCAUGUGGCGCACUCUUGUGGACCUAGGUUGGUGGACAACACCUCAUCUUCCAUCUGGGCAUGUUGCAGUCUUCCUGUCUCAAUAUUAAAUUCCAUAACUACAGUCAAACAGAAGGUGCACAAGCUGGGACAUUGAUUCUUUCACUCUCUGCCUUUACUGAGUGUUUCUAUUUUUAACUCGGAGUGCUAGGACAAAAAUGGCAAAGGGUGCACUGGUGUUAAUACAAAUACACGUAAAUAUCCGAAGAUGAGGACAUGAUUGUGAAUUAUUUCAGGAUGGAAAAAAAUAAAAUUAUAUUUUACACAA